rnacentral:rRNA from 1 species
CAGCAGCCGCGGGAAUACGGAGGGUGCAAGCGUUAAUCGGAAUUACUGGGCGUAAAGCGCACGCAGGCGGUCUGUCAAGUCAGAUGUGAAAUCCCCGGGCUUAACCUGGGAACUGCAUUUGAAACUGGCAGGCUAGAGUCUUGUAGAGGGGGGUAGAAUUCCAGGUGUAGCGGUGAAAUGCGUAGAGAUCUGGAGGAAUACCGGUGGCGAAGGCGGCCCCCUGGACAAAGACUGACGCUCAGGUGCGAAAGCGUGGGGAGCAAACAGGAUUAGAGACCCCGGUAGUCCCUGUCUCUUAUAC